CCCAGUCUGCACAAAUCCCAGAGCCCUUUCCUUCAGCUGGCCUUUGGAGUCCACCAGGAGAGCUCAGAGGUUCCCAGUGGUCAGUCUGCCCAGCAGCAUCAAACACACCUGGACUCCAUAUUUAUGCUGCUGGAGGAGAACAUUGUCACUUUUGUGAAGAACGAACUGAAGAAGAUCCAGAAGAAUCUGAGAUCAGAUUACCCAGAAUACUUAGAGUGUCAGAGCGAGGAUGAGGAGGUGUUGGACGGUGAGGAGGAAGAGCAGAGGAGGAGCAGCAGAGAGGCAUUUCUGAAGAUCACACUGCACUUCCUGAGGAGAAUGAAGCAGGAGGAGCUGGCUGAG